UCCAGGGUAGCCUAGUGGACAUGGCAUCUGCUCGGUAAGCGGAACGUUGUGGGUUCGAUUCCCGCCCCUGGAC